rnacentral:pre_miRNA from 1 species
UGGACAGAUUAUUGUAUUCGACUGUAUUCACGGUGUGAAAUAUGGGAUUACACUAUUUUAAAACGGAAAGUGAAUCAAUUAACAUAAUAGACUCCU